rnacentral:lncRNA from 1 species
CUGCCCCUCCAGGAGCUUGCGAUGGAGUAGCCAGUCUCACCUUGUCGGCUUGAAAGGAGUGCCAUGGGUCAUCCCGAGUGAGUUUCACUCCAUUGUCAACCUCUCCUCCUAGGCAGCGAGCAAGGUAAAGAGCACAAGCCUGCUCCUCCCUUUUCUCUUUCACCUUCUUCUUUCUAGCAGGACUUAUCUAUGAACAGAUCUGCAAGCCAUCAACCUCGAUGGAGGAUUAGCCGGCAC